CCUCUGUUUCACCGUAUACAUAACUUCGGUCAAAUCGACCUUAUCAAUAGCAACCACUCGGUAAUUUUGCUUACUCAUACCUGGAAAACAACAUUUGAGGUGCAACGUUCUAGUGAUGAAGCCAGUUAAAAUACACAUUAUUUAUUGUGGUGCCUGAGGGUAUGCGCCAAAGUUCCGGCGUCUAAAAGCAGACCUGGAGCAAGAAUUUGGCACGGAUGUGGUGAUUACAGGUGAAGGGACUCCUCAAGCCACUGGCUAUUUUGAAGUGCAGAUAGAGAAUGGAAAGCUUCUCCAUUCCAAGAAGAAUGGUGAUGGCUAUGUGGACAGCGAGGCCAAAUUUCAUAAGAUUACCAAAGGUAUUGAGGAGGCUUUAAAAUCCUAGAGGACUACAUUCACAACUACAAGGGUUUGACCUGGUUCUAUUUGAUCAAGUCGGCUUUCUAUGAUUGAUUAGUCUGAAAGUUUCACAAGGACUAUUCCUGAUGCCCCAAGCUGGUUUGACACAAGAUGAUAACAUGGACAAACUCUUGUUGAUAUGUU